rnacentral:rRNA from 1 species
GGGAACGUAUUCACCGCAGCGUGCUGAUCUGCGAUUACUAGCGAUUCCAACUUCAUGGGCUCGAGUUGCAGAGCCCAAUCCGAACUGAGACGGCUUUUUGAGAUUUGCCAAGGGUCGCCCCUUCGCUUCCCAUUGUCACCGCCAUUGUAGCACGUGUGUAGCCCAGCCCGUAAGGGCCAUGAGGACUUGACGUCAUCCCCACCUUCCUCGCGGCUUAUCACCGGCAGUCCCCUUAGAGUGCCCAACUGAAUGAUGGCAACUAAGGGCGAGGGUUGCGCUCGUUGCGGGACUUAACCCAACAUCUCACGACACGAGCUGACGACAGCCAUGCAGCACCUGUCUCCGAUCCAGCCGAACUGAAGGAGUGUGUCUCCACUCUCCGCGAUCGGGAUGUCAAGGG